AGAGCUGUGUGUUUUUUGCGUUAUUGUUGCUAGAGAAGGGACCAUCUAUAUAUAUGCAUCACUUGAAAGCCUUGCCCAUCAAGGAGCUGUCAAGUGUUCCUAGUUGCAUUAGGAUUAGGUUGUUCAAUCCAUAUAGAAUUAGGAAUUCCAUUGUCUCUUGUAUUUCAAUUAGGAUAGCUUUUAUACAAGGAUAAUCUGAUUAGUUUGAGUAUAUCUCUAAACAUGCAAAACUCUAGAAUCCC
rnacentral:lncRNA from 1 species